rnacentral:rRNA from 1 species
UACGGAGGGUGCGAGCGUUGUCCGGAAUCACUGGGCGUAAAGGGCGCGUAGGCGGUGCGAGAAGCGUGUGGUGAAAGGCCGGGGCUCAACCCCGGCUCGGCCGUGCGGACUCUCGCGCUUGGUGAGUGCUGUAGAGGCGGGCGGAAUUCCGGGUGUAGCGGUGGAAUGCGUAGAGAUCCGGAAGAACACCGGUGGCGAAGGCGGCCCGCUGGGCAGUGACUGACGCUGAGGCGCGAAAGCGUGGGGAGCAAACAGG